rnacentral:rRNA from 1 species
UCCUACGGGGGGCAGCAGUGGGGAAUAUUGGACAAUGGGCGCAAGCCUGAUCCAGCAAUACCGCGUGUGUGAAGAAGGCCUUCGGGUUGUAAAGCACUUUCAAUUGGGAGGAAAACCUGCCGGCCAAUACCCGGCAGCUUGACAUUACCUUUAGAAGAAGCACCGGCUAACUCCGUGCCAGCAGCCGCGGUAAUACGGAGGGUGCAAGCGUUAAUCGGAAUUACUGGGCGUAAAGCGUGCGUAGGCGGUUCGUUAAGUCAGAUGUGAAAGCCCCGGGCUCAACCUGGGAACUGCAUUUGAAACUGGCGGACUAGAGUUGAGUAGAGGGGAGUGGAAUUUCAGGUGUAGCGGUGAAAUGCGUAGAUAUCUGAAGGAACACCAGUGGCGAAGGCGACUCCCUGGACUCAAACUGACGCUGAGGUACGAAAGCGUGGGUAGCAAACAGGAUUAGAUACCCGAGUAU